GCCGGAAUAGCUCAGUUGGUAGAGCAGAGGACUGAAAAUCCUCGUGUCACAG
rnacentral:tRNA from 1 species